AUGUUGCAACACCACUGGUGACUUGCAGAGUGUCUGAAAGACAGUACUUCCUCUGGGUCAGGGUGGGGUCGGUGAGAGGAAUACUUUGAUAAACCUGGAGCGCAAAUUCAAAUGGCUGAAAUACAUCUUCUGCCCAGGAUGAACAACAGAGAUGUCAGAGAAGUGAGCAAAUGCAGGCAUGAGCUUUCACAACUUUUGUAAGCAUCGUAGGCUUGUAUCUUAAUUUUGUACUGGGAUUUGUAAUGUCGUCAAGGGAGGCUAAUGCACUGAGAUGACUCUAAUUUGUGUGCUAUUCUUUAAAGAAACAGGAUGUUUGAGUACUCACGGAUAAAAUAUUUUAUGUUUAAUCUGGACUGGCUCUUUGACAAAUUUUGUUGGCUGGACUGUUAUGCUAGUGCUGUGUUAACACUAUAAAAAUGGGCAGAGGAUUUUUUUCUGUUUGUAAGGAAUAGGUAAUAUUCUGACCAAAUUCCAGGCAAUUAGCACUGCUUUUGAGCUCAUUUUGCUUUUGCUUCUCCUGGCAUACAUCAGCAAAAGAGUAGCUUGAUAAGAAAGACAUGCUUGCAAUUUGACACACACACACACAUAGCUUGCCAAGAGAGGUCACUGCAGCAUCCUGGGUGGAUGCAUUCACAAAGGCAUGAGACAACACACUCAGAAGGCUAGUCAGAGGGGACCACUGCCUGCCACGUAGGGUUUGGAUCUUACACAGGACUCUAAACCCCAGAAGUGAAGAAAACUCUGCACUCUCUGAAUCAUGGGAAUGGCCGUAAUAUAAUGAGAAGCUUCUCACACCUUUUCCUUCGAAGAUACAAAGAAGCCCAGCCUGUUUCUAAAGUCCUGUCAUCAGUUUGAAGCAGAUUCAGAAUGAGGAAGAUGCUUGAGUUCAAGAACUGGGAAUGGAAAGAAGAACAGAUUAGAAGUUACAAGAGUUGAAGGAAAUUCUGUCACAUCUUUGUCUUCGAGCAGAAGGCUAUCAAACAAAGCUGCCCAACCUUACACUCAUCCAUCAUCCUUGAGUUAUUAAGAAAAUAGCUGCAGAACAUUUACAAGUGGAUGGGAUGGAUUGCUGGCUGCUUUUCAAGAACACAGUCAAUGCUACAAAAACUUUGCAAGAUGGCAAAUGUUCUCAUGUUUCCUGUUCCUUGCUCUGCUACGACCUGCUAGAAGGAAUGGUUUCUUGAAUUUUGGGGUGACUAAUCUAGGUUGAUGCUAAAACUGUUAAUCGUUUGUGUCUAAUACCAGAGUAUAAUUUUAUCUGAGUAGAA